ensembl:lncRNA
CGCUAGUAAGCUGUGCAACCCUAGGAGCAGGAUCCUGUUGCAAAUCAUUACUAAUCUCUUGCUACAGUGAGUGCUGGAUGGGUGCAGCACUGCCACUACUUUAAUCUCCGUAAGAACAAAAAGGGUUGUUCAAGACAAACUGAGCUCAUGGAUGAGUUCCAUGGAAUCUUUUGGUUUUCUUAGGGCACGUGUAACCUGCAGUACUCAAGAGCUUCUGUUUAAAUAGCCUUUCUGCACCACCUAUAUUGGUCAGAGGAGGGAAACUUUUAACUUUCCAAGUUGAUCUCUGCCACAGAACAGAUCCUCUGCCUGCCCUGUAUUCUGGUGAACAAUGUGUACAGUGUUUCAUGUUCCAGAAGGAGAUGGAUGAAGGGUUCCAGGAAACUGAAGUGCUUCUGAGAGCCCUGUGCUGCUCCUGUACACGUUUAAUGACUCUAAAGGAAAGCAGGUUCUAUAAAAUGUCCUACAGUUUCAUCUGUGUUUCUGAAAUGCAGCAGCAUUUGCUUGAUGUUACAGCAUGAACUUUAGCCCAGCUGGGUAGUUUGUCUUCAAGCAACACAAAUGCCUGACUGUCAGAAAUACCUUCAAUAUUAAACUCUGUGCCUUUAAGGGGGGUGCAUUUGGCAUUAAACAGACUUACCAUCUAAUGAAUUUCUCAAGUUACAAGAAUAAUGGCCUUUUUAAUCUUAGCAAGAAUAAUUAAACAGACAUUUGUUAUUAAUGAUGUUGUUAAUGGCAGCAGAUAUUGAAUUUUCUCUGUAGAUAUCAUAAAGUUGUGUGGUGAUUUUUUUGGAGGUUUUUGUUAACUUGAUUGGGCAGUGAAGCUAAAAAUGUAGAAUAUAAUUUUUUCUUCCUUCUGGAGGUAUUAAUUUUUGCCACAUAUCUAGAAGACUCUUCUUUGCCUUCAUUUUAUUCUUAUUGGAGAUCCUUGCCUUUGCCUUCCUUCACUGGCUAAUCUGAUAGCAAACACACUAGGUCAGCCUUCUACCACCUGUGAGUAGCCUGGAAUGAUUCCUGUAGGAAGGAAUGUGAAUGGCAGCAACUAUUUCUGCAGUCCUUACACUGGGUUUGCUGAAAGUUCUUGUUUGUGUUUUGCCUCAGGGAAAUAUGAGUUUGUUGCAUGUCCAGGGACCAUGCCGAUCUGUGCUCUCCCCUGUUCUCUGAUUGUCUGGGAUUGCAUGCAAAUACUGACAGGGUGCAACGCAUUCUCCAGGAAGCAGUUACUCAACCCUGGUCAAUGCUGUGGAGCAGUCAGCAGCUCCAGCGGUGUCCCUGUGGAGGAGUCUCCUUCACUCUGCUUCUCUUACACAUUCAUUUUCUGUACUAUGGUUUCAGAUAUCCCUAUGCUAGGCUUCCUGCUCAUUGCUUUUUCCCUUGGUUUGUGGAAAUCACUUGUCAGUAGUUAUGGUAAUCACAACAUCUUGUGGUCUUUCCUUUACUAGUCCUCAGGGAAAUGACAUGUGGGUUUAUUAGUGUGUGGGUUUCUCAGACCUUUGUGAUGGGAAGACAAUUUAAUCAGAAUAAUUUUUCCAUGAAAUGAAGGCCUUUUCUGACCAGGCUUAGAAACAGCUUUUUCAGUGGCAUGGGACCCUGCUUGACUCAUGUGCCUUUCACAUCUUAAUUUCUCCUGAGAAAAAUGCUUUACAAAAGCUUUAAGAAAUCCUCUGAACUCCAGAGACCAGGAUUUGUCUGCUUUUGGAUUGUGUCUGUCAGUGGCUGCUUUCCAAGCUCUCAUGUUUCUGUGAAUUCCAGUUUACACCUUUUAAAAGCACUCCUUCUGAUUUGGCUUGCUCUCCUCCUGGGUUUGCUCUCUGCUCCCAGCCCGUUCCAAUCACAUGCAAAACCUGCAGCUUCUGCUGGUCCUCCAAGUAUUACUUUACAUUUUAAAGAAGGGGAAAACCCCCUAAGCAAGACAAAGAGCCCUGGCAUUAGUUGCUAAUUUCCCUUUCUCUGUCAAGAUUAUGUUAGUAGCUCUGAGUAAUUUGGUCUGAUUUUCUCAGGGGACUAGGACUGAAAUAAUGCAAUGUUUAUUUUUAUACAAAUUCUCACAGUGCUACAAUGUUUCAGAGACUUCCUGGGAUGUUUCUAGUUUUUUUUUUCACAGACGAAAAGGCUGUUCUCAGAGGUAGCUCCUUCAUGUAAACCUAAAAAUGGCACUUUCCCACAAUACAGCUUAUCAGGAAGUUUAAAGUUCAGUAGUCUCUCUCUCGCUCUCUCUCCCUGUCUCACACACAUGAAAGUAAAGAAUAAAAAAUGAAGGGGCUGUUCCAGUUCUUCUGAGAGUUGCUUUUCAAUCAUACUGUUUCAGUGUGCUGACUGAUCAUAAUGGCUUGGUGGGGCCUGUGAUGGCCUAACAACAGAAUGAGGCAACAUUUGUGGAGAAAUAUAGCCACUUUUAUUCAAUAAAUUGUGAUGGAUUCACUCAGUGAGUUACGAGUGCUCAUAACGCUGCUCUUGCUUACACACAUAUGGAUAUGGGCAUAAAGCUAACCUCAACUACUAAGGCAUUAAAAUUGGAAUGUCAUGAUUCUGCUGCCUCCUGAGUGUCUGAAAUGGUUUGAUUAGGAAUAACUAAG